AUGGCCCGCUUGUAUGUUGGCAACUUGGAUGCCCGGGUGACUGCUGGGGAACUUGAAGACGAGUUUCGUGUGUUUGGAGUUUUGCGAAGUGUCUGGGUUGCACGUAAGCCACCUGGUUUUGCGUUUAUCGAUUUUGAUGACAAGCGGGAUGCUGAGGAUGCACUUCGUGAUCUAGAUGGCAAGAAUGGAUGGAGGGUUGAGCUGUCUCGCAAUGACCGUGGUGACCGUGGAGGUCGUGGUGGUGGUGCUGGUGGUGGCGGCGGCGGUCGUGAUCGUGGUGGGUCUGAUAUGAAAUGCUAUGAAUGUGGUGAAUCUGGGCAUUUUGCUCGUGAAUGUCGUCUGCGUAUUGGUUCUGGUGGUCUGGGCAGUGGAAGGCGUCGCAGCAGGAGCCGCAGCCGCAGCCGCAGCCCUAGGUACCGCAGGAGUCCGAGCUAUGGCAGAAGAAGUUACAGCCCUCGUGAUCGCUCUCCAAGACGCCGCAGUGCUUCUCCAGCCCCAGCCCGUGGUCGCAGCUAUAGCAAGUCACCGGUCCGUGCCAGGGAUGAUUCUCCUGAUGCUAAAGGGUUUCGCCGCAGCCGGAGUUAG
rnacentral:rRNA from 1 species